CAUUCUUUUAAUGCAACAAGCGUGCUAGGUGCUGUUUCUGUAUAGGAAGUAAUAAUAGAUACUCGCCUAUAUGCGAUUCAUGCAAAAGAAAUGUUUGUAAUGCCCACUCAACAAAAAUCCAAAAAAUUAUAUGUAAGGAAUGCAAUACUUCGCAAUACAUAUAAUUUUUUUAUAAUUUACCAAUCUAUUAUUUUUUUGUAUACAUACAGCGAAAAUCCGAGCAUAACUCGAAAUCUA